rnacentral:rRNA from 1 species
GAUGAACGCUGGCGGCGUGCCUAAUACAUGCAAGUCGAGCGAACAGACGAGGAGCUUGCUCCUCUGACGUUAGCGGCGGACGGGUGAGUAACACGUGGAUAACCUACCUAUAAGACUGGGAUAACUUCGGGAAACCGGAGCUAAUACCGGAUAAUAUAUUGAACCGCAUGGUUCAAUAGUGAAAGACGGUUUUGCUGUCACGUAUAGAUGGAUCCGCGCCGCAUUAGCUAGUUGGUAAGGUAACGGCUUACCAAGGCAACGAUGCGUAGCCGACCUGAGAGAGUGAUCGGCCACCCUGGAACUGAGACGCGGUCCAGGCUCCUACGGGAGGCAGCAGUAGGGAAUCUUACGCAAUGGGCGAAAGCCUGACGGAGCAACGCCGCGUGAGUGAUGAAGGUCUUCGGAUCGUAAAACUCUGUUAUUAGGGAAGAACAAAUGUGUAAGUAACUAUGCACGUCUUGACGGUACCUAAUCAGAAAGCCACGGCUAACUACGUG